GACGAACCGUGCAAACGUUGUUCGGAAUCACUGGGCUUAAAGGGCGCGUAGGCGGCUUGCCAAGUCAGGGGUGAAAUCCUCCAGCUCAACUGGAGAAGUGCCUUUGAUACUGGCGAGCUCGAGGGAGGUAGGGGUAUGUGGAACUUCUGGUGGAGCGGUGAAAUGCGUUGAUAUCAGAAGGAACGCCGGUGGCGAAAGCGACGUACUGGACCUCUUCUGACGCUGAGGCGCGAAAGCUAGGGGAGCAAACGGG
rnacentral:rRNA from 1 species